rnacentral:rRNA from 1 species
AUACGGAGGGUGCAAGCGUUACGCGGAAUCACUGGGCGUAAAGCGCGCGCAGGCGGGCUGAUAAGUUGGAUGUGAAAGCCUACGGCUCAACCGUAGAACUGCAUCCAAAACUGUCAGUCUAGAGUGUGGGAGAGGAAGAUGGAAUUAGUUGUGUAGGGGUAAAAUCCGUAGAGAUAACUAGGAAUACCAAAAGCGAAGGCGAUCUUCUGGAACAGUACUGACGCUGAGGCGCGAAAGCGUGGGGAGCAAACAGGAUUAGAUACCCUAGUAGUCC